UCCAUCGUUUUGCUCGAAAAAGAAAACCUGGGUUCCAUCGAGAGAGGAAAGAGGGGAUCGGGAGUCAGUUAUGCGCCGCCGCCUGCCCUGCGCCGUCGCCGGCGGAGGCCUCGAAUGAGGAUCCAGUGGUGCCCAAAUAAGCAGCUCCCCAAUCCAAGCAGCAGCUCCUCCUUCCCGAGCUGCAACCGGCAAUCGAAGCAAUCAAGCGGCUCCACUCCGGAAUCAGAAACAGGCCCUGUUUCAAAUUCAGUCUCCGAGCUUCCAUUGGUGGCGGGAACCGCCAAUCCUCGGAGGAGACGCACAACAACAACUCUAGACAUCAGUUUUCAGAAGAAAGAUCGACCGGCAACGCGGCAAUGGCGAGGACCGGUCGCCGGCGAUAGGCUGCCAAAUUGAUGGCCAAACCGUCGGUCAAGGCCGAAUCCUCCCUCGACAAGCUGGCCUGUGCAAUUGGAAAGUACAUGCUCCGCAAAUGCAAGUCGGGGCAGGCGGACCUGCUGAGGGAGAGCAAAAGCUGACACGGUGGACAUGUUUUCGCUUGGGAUAUAUCUUUUAGAAUGUUUAAGCUAUUUUUAAGUCUGCUGUUCAACAUCAAUUCUUGAUUCAUCUGAAAUUCUGAAUAUUCUACGACGAUCAGUUACAACGUGAGUUCUAGAUUUAUUUA